rnacentral:rRNA from 1 species
UACGUAGGGGGCGAGCGUUGUCCGGAUUUAUUGGGCGUAAAGAGCUCGUAGGCGGCUUGGCAAGUCGGGUGUGAAACCUCCAGGCUCAACCUGGAGACGCCACUCGAUACUGCUAUGGCUAGAGUCCGGUAGGGGACCACGGAAUUCCUGGUGUAGCGGUGAAAUGCGCAGAUAUCAGGAGGAACACCGGUGGCGAAGGCGGUUCUCUGGGCAUUACCUGACGCUGAGGAGCGAAAGUGUGGGGAGCGAACAGG